rnacentral:rRNA from 1 species
ACCUACGGGAGGCAGCAGUGGGGAAUAUUGGGCAAUGGGCGCGAGCCUGACCCAGCAACGCCGCGUGAAGGAAGAAGGCUUUCGGGUUGUAAACUUCUUUUCUUGGGGACGAAGAAAGUGACGGUACCCAUGGAAUAAGCCACGGCUAACUACGUGCCAGCAGCCGCGGUAAUACGUAGGUGGCAAGCGUUAUCCGGAUUUAUUGGGUGUAAAGGGCGUGUAGGCGGGAUUGCAAGUCAGAUGUGAAAACCACGGGCUCAACCUGUGGCCUGCAUUCGAAACUGU